UACGAAGGGGGCUAGCGUUGCUCGGAAUCACUGGGCGUAAAGGGUGCGUAGGCGGGUCUUUAAGUCAGGGGUGAAAUCCUGGAGCUCAACUCCAGAACUGCCUUUGAUACUGAGGAUCUUGAGUUCGGGAGAGGUGAGUGGAACUGCGAGUGUAGAGGUGAAAUUCGUAGAUAUUCGCAAGAACACCGGUGGCGAAGGCGGCCUGCUGGGACAGUGCUGACGCUGAGGCGCGACAGCGUGGGGAGCAAACAGG
rnacentral:rRNA from 1 species